UCUCCGUAGGUGAACCUGCGGAGGGAUCAUUACAGAGUUCAUGCCCUACCGGGUAGAUCUCCCACCCUAUGUUAUUAUUACUUUGUUGCUUUGGCGGGCCGUUAGGCUCCGGCCCGACUACCGGCCCCGGCUGGUAAGCGCCCGCCAGAGGACCCAAAACCCUGAAUAUUAGUGUCGUCUGAGUACUAUCUGAUAGUUAAAACUUUCAACAACGGAUCUCUUGGUUCUG
rnacentral:misc_RNA from 1 species